rnacentral:rRNA from 1 species
GGGAAGCCCCCCCCAAGACUAGAUCUCCCUGGGAACUCGAUUCCCCUAAAGGGCCCAAGUAGACGACUUGGUUGAUAGGCCGGGUGUGUAAGGUCGGUAACGACUUCAGCUAACCGGUACUAAUUGCCCGUGAGGCUUGACCAUAUAACCCCAAGCAGUU